GACGAACGCUGGCGGCGUGCUUAACACAUGCAAGUCGAACGGAAAGGCCCUGCUUUUGUGGGGUGCUCGAGUGGCGAACGGGUGAGUAACACGUGAGUAACCUGCCCUGGACUGUGGGAUAACUUCAGGAAACUGGGGCUAAUACCGGAUAGGAGCUCCUGCUGCAUGGUGGGGGUUGGAAAGUGUCGGCGGGUGGGGAUGGACGCGCGGCUUAUCAGCUUGUUGGUGGGGUAGUGGCUUACCAAGGCUUUGACGGAUAGCCGGCCUGAGAGGGUGACCGGGCACAUUGGGACUGAGGUACGGCCCAGACUGCUACGGGAGGCAGCAGUGGGGAAUAUUGCACAAUGGGCGGAAGCGUGAUGCAGCAACGCCGCGUGCGGGAUGACGGCCUUCGGGUUGUAAACAGCUUUCGCCUGUGACGAAGCGUGAGUGACGGUAAUGGGUAAAGAAGCACCGGCUAACUACGUG
rnacentral:rRNA from 1 species